AGUUCGGCUUACACCCAGGAAUGAGCAAGGACAGCUUGGAGGUUAAAAGCAAGAUACAGUCAGUCAUCUUCUUCAGGGUAACCUCAAAUGUUCCAAGGUCUUACACCUACUCAUCAUAUUCAGGGAACUGAGACUCCACACACCUCACUUUGAGGCUGGAAUAUGCUGAAACUGCCUCCACAAACUCAUUAUUCUGGACCAAGACUUACAGCCUAAAGUGAAGGACAUUUCCAAAGAAAUUUUCUCCUCACUGAUGCCUCUCCUGCUGCAAUGCAAUGACCCUGGC
rnacentral:lncRNA from 1 species